AGUCAGCUGAGGGAGAAGAGCAUCGGAGGAGAUGAUUUAAAAGAGCCUGUUUCUUAUUUCCAAUCACCUGGCAAGGCCAUCUAAGAAAGCACACUGAGCAAAUGUGCUUUUCCAGCCACACACAUUGUCUAGAUAGAAAAACAACUUCAAACAUCUCGUAGUGUUUUGGAAAAUAUUUUCUGGAUCUGUCAACGUCGCCCCUCAAAGAGAAGUGGUUGCCUGGAUUUUUGGACUCUUCUCACGUUGCAUAUUUCUCAAAAAUGGAAAUAACAAGAUCCUUGGAUGUACACCACGGUUUUAAGAAGGACUUCUUGGAAGCUUUGCUACACAGCAUUCAGUGGGUUUGAUUUCAUGGGGGAAGGGGGUGCUGAUGUGCGUGAGGCAGAAGGGAGGAAGAAGAGAAGGACAAAGCAGCCCCAAAAACAGAACGGAAGAAGGACGGAAAUGCUUGGGUCUAAGAAUCACACCGUGCCACGUUUGCAAAGGUUAACUUAACUGUGACUCGUUGUAUCCAGAUUUCUACAACAGCAAGCACGAAGGUUCGGCGGAUCUCAUCUUCAGGUGGACCCGAUGCAGCGCAUUCUGCGUGAUCAGAGUGAGAGAUACCCACAGUUUGUCUCCUCCAGCGACAGCGAGCCUGGUGCCGGCGAGGUCAGCUCUGCCGGCGAGGGACUCCUUCCUUAUUCCCUUGCUUGGAAAGGUUCCUACAGAGUCUGCAGACUUCUGGGUCAGGACUGUCAAGAAGAGUGAGGAGGGAUUCUUGGAACACUCAACCCUCAAAGCAAUGUCUCUAUCCAAUCCUUCCCUCGGGGCUCAGGGAUGCCCCAGAAGAGGAGGCUGAAGAAAACAAAGCCCUCUAAAUCAACACGAUAAAAGCUCUCAGAGACUGAGGCAGCAUACACAGGGCCUGCACAGUUCUGCCAUUGUAUUGUGGCUUCCAGGAAGGCUGCUACUGAACAAACGGGUCAUUAAGACACCUUUCAUGGCUCUGCCAGCUGACCAGCCUGAGAGACCCACUGGCAGAUGACCCGGGAGGAAGAAAAUGUGGAAGAAGUGGUCAGCAGGUAGACAUUUGGUAUUUUCCCCAGUAGAGCUGGCCUUUCCUUUGGAGGAGCAAACAAGCCACUGGUUAGGAUCUUAGCGACUGACUGUGGUGCAGGCAUCCGGUGAAUAUCCUCCCGCUAAGGAACAUGUACACAAAUCCUUGUGUAUACCUCGAAUCACAUUAUUUCAAGAGACACCAUUAAAUAGUGAAACUUCUUGUCAGGAGAUAAUCAACUGACUCACGGGUGAGCAGCAGCUCUUGAGAAUAAAGCUCCCUGCCACACUUUCCUGCUGCUGCCUCCUCUUCCUGUCAGGCUCAGAGCUGGAGAGCGCUGACUAGCAUCCUGGAUUCUCUAGUGUCCCCACGGAAAGCACAACAGCCCCCCCUCGGCAUCAGGGGUGGAAGCAAAAGAGACCACCAAGGGCAAGAGGGAGAACAAGAGUCCGGGCCUUAGAAGGAAGCUGCCUGGAAAAGGAGCACGUGAUGUUCUGCUGGAGCAGAUGCUUGAGAGGACAUGUGAUGUUUGGAAAGGGUCUAAGUAUAACCCCAUAGACAGCGGAAGGCAGUGUGGCAUUGGUUUACCUUGCCCCUCUUUGCUGGUUUUCACUGGGCUUCGCUGAUGACCUUGCCUUCUUCACUGAGCAUCACCUGUCGUGACUUCUUAGAGAGAAACGGAUCAAAGAACUUCUUGUGAUAUUCAGGUAGCUUCUUGCUGUUUCAGUGGACUCUGCCCAGUUGGCAGAGUGUUGAGGUUUCUUCUGGAGCUGGCUGCUGUUGCUGCUGAUUUGUGUGGCCUGAACUGCUGAUAUCCUGACAACGAAGAUUGGAAUCAACGGAGAUUGGAACUAUUUCUAAACAGACCCACGUCCCCCUUUGCCCUAUUAACCUUUCCUUUCUACUACCUCCGGUGGGUGAUGGGUGAGAAGGGAAGUUAAAGCAUUUAAGAACCCUUAUUAAAGUAGGUUUUGAAAACUCUAAACCUACAGCUCAGUGACUCUAUUGCAGAUCUGUGUAACUCAUGACGUUCUAACCAAAGCUGCACAAUGAUUGUUCCUAGGAGAUAUCAGAGACAAGAGAGGUUGGAGAUUAACAAAGGCACUGAUGGUCUUCUGCAUACCACAGCCAAAUAUGACUCGGAGAGAGACCCAGGGAACAAUUCCUGUUCCUGCAAGUUUAGAUGGGAUUCUGGGACUUCAGGGUCAUGCUCGCAAGUCAUGUUAGUAAGCAUGUUAGACCUGACUGUGGCUCGUCCAUGCUGGUGGCUCACUGUACCAGCCCUAGAGGUCAAGAGGCUGCAUGUGUGAGCCUGCCUGUGUCUGAUCUCUUCCUCUUACACAGAAAGCUUCUUAAACAUGAGAAGACAGUGGCGCACCGAGGAGAGCAGACUGAGAUGAACCUGAGUGGGAAAUGGGGUUUUCCAAAAGAGUCACAGAGCUGUACACCAGGGGAACAAGGAGUGGUAGAGAGUGGGCAGGCCAGAGAGUCAAGGUUAACACAUUUAGAACAUAAAUAAGUUUUCUUAAGAUAUAAUUUCCUCAAUGAUACUUCUUACGUUAAAGAAAUAUCAUCCUUCCAUCAAGGAUGUGUGGCCAGGUCCCAAGUCAAUGUCUCAUUCCAUUUUUUUUUCUGAUCCAGGAUACAGAAGAGAAAGCAGUGCAUCCAGCCAGGCACACUGCAGCAGGUAGUGACCAUCAGCACCAUGCGGCAAGGUCCACGUCCAAUGAAGAAGGAAGGGGGAUAUUGCAGCUGAUCCAGAACAUCCAGAUAGACAUCCACCUGUACUCCAAUGAAGAGAGAGCCACACAGAGAAAGAACUGAAGAUUCAUCUUUAUCAAGAACCUGUCACAAUCACCCUUCUACACUGAGAGGCGGAAUCACAUCACUUCCCGUGGCCAUUCCUUCUGACAAAAUAAGUAGGAAAAUACCAGAAAUGAAGGUUUAGGGUGGUCAUGUUUUCUCAUAGUUCACACGGCUAAGAUCUUGAUUGAAAAGCAAAGGCGAGAAUGACCUCUACAGCGGGGUAAUGAAAACUGACCUCCAGCAAGGGAGAAACCAUUUCAAGAUGUUGGUGACAUCAUCUAAAGUCAACCAGGUCUUAAAUCCUAGUUGAGGUCACUAGGGCCUGGGUAUCCAAAACAACAUCAGUGCUGAGAAUUCCUUCACCAAAUUAACGAAUCAAGUCAGAGAGCAGUGAUGUUGUCUUAGGUGACAGAGCACUUGCCUAGCUUGCUGGAAGCUCUGGAGUGGAUCCCCCAACACUAUAGUAAGUGGGGCAUAACGGUGUGAGCCUCUCAUCCCAGCACUAGAGAGGCAGAGGCGGGAAGAGGGAAAAUUCAAGGUUACCUAGGACUUCUUAGUAAGUUUGAGGCCAGCCUGGGAUACAUGAAACCACAUCUUCAAAAGUCAAACAACAAAUCUGUUCCCUCCCUCUGCCAUUUGCCCCCAUACUUUUGCUGUUUAAACCUGAGUUUAUGGCCCUCAGAAUGGCUUCAAAUGGCAGUCAUUCGCCAGCUCCCACCCCAUACUAUUACUUAAUAAAGCUGGAGGAAUGAUAAACUG
rnacentral:lncRNA from 1 species